rnacentral:rRNA from 1 species
UAAGUAAGUGGUGGAAAUUAAACCAAAUGGGAUAUCUUUAGUAAUUGCGAAUGAACAAGGAUAUGCUUAGCUUGACAAAUGGAGCUAUUGGCUUUGAAUUGUAUUGUGGAAAUGUAUUACCAACAGAGGUGCAGGUGCCAGCCUAUUGAAAUAAAGCGUCAAUGAGGGUGAGAAUCCUGUUUGUCAUGUGCAGCCCUUUGUGCACGGUGUAUAUUUGCUGAGUCACACUCCUUGGCAUUGGAAUGCAAAGUGGGUGGUAAGUUUCAUGUAAAGGUAAACAUGCAAUUGAGACUGAUAGCACACAAGUACCAUGCGGGAAAUAUGAAAAGGACUUUGAAAAGAGAAUUAAAUGAGUUUGUAUUUGCUGAACACAAAGUAAACAGACUUGAUUUGCUUGGUGGGAGUGUUGCACUUGCUUGACAAGAGCUUUGGGCUGUGGGUGUAAUGAUUCUUUCUUUGCAUGCCAGUUUCUAUUUGUACAUCUGAUUACCUUUGCACAUGAAUGAUAAGUCUCCUGUGGGGGGUGGAUUGCAUGUGCAUGUAAUGAUUUGUGUUUUGAUAAAUGUGUCUGGUGUAUGUGUGUGUUCCUGUGCUUGGGGAUGCUUCCUUCCUUGGACUUACAAGCCCUGACACACACAUGCUGGCAAAAUGCUUCUGCUUGACCCG